rfam:Clostridium phytofermentans ISDg, complete genome.
GCUGUUAUGGCUCAGUCGGUAGAGCGUCACCUUGGUAAGGUGGAGGUCACGGGUUCGAUUCCCGUUAACAGCU